AUUUAUGGAGAGUUUGAUCCUGGCUCAGGAUGAACGCUGGCGGCGUGCCUAAUACAUGCAAGUCGAGCGAACAGAUAAGGAGCUUGCUCCUUUGACGUUAGCGGCGGACGGGUGAGUAACACGUGGGUAACCUACCUAUAAGACUGGGAUAACUUCGGGAAACCGGAGCUAAUACCGGAUAACAUUUGGAACCGCAUGGUUCUAAAGUGAAAGAUGGUUUUGCUAUCACUUAUAGAUGGACCCGCGCCGUAUUAGCUAGUUGGUAAGGUAACGGCUUACCAAGGCGACGAUACGUAGCCGACCUGAGAGGGUGAUCGGCCACACUGGAACUGAGACACGGUCCAGACUCCUACGGGAGGCAGCAGUAGGGAAUCUUCCGCAAUGGGCGAAAGCCUGACGGAGCAACGCCGCGUGAGUGAUGAAGGGUUUCGGCUCGUAAAACUCUGUUAUUAGGGAAGAACAAAUGUGUAAGUAACUGUGCACAUCUUGACGGUACCUAAUCAGAAAGCCACGGCUAACUACGUGCCAGCAGCCGCGGUAAUACGUAGGUGGCAAGCGUUAUCCGGAAUUAUUGGGCGUAAAGCGCGCGUAGGCGGUUUCUUAAGUCUGAUGUGAAAGCCCACGGCUCAACCGUGGAGGGUCAUUGGAAACUGGGAAACUUGAGUGCAGAAGAGGAAAGUGGAAUUCCAUGU
rnacentral:rRNA from 2 species